rnacentral:tRNA from 1 species
GAGGAUAUAGCUCAGUGAUAGAGGGAGUGCUUAUUAUGCAUGAGGUCCUGGGUUCAAUCCCCAGUACCUCCA